rnacentral:tRNA from 1 species
GCCUGAUUGGCUCAGUUGGUAGAGCAUGUGACUCUUGAUCUUGAGGUCCUGAGUUCACACCCCAUGUUGGGUA